UUUUAGCUCCGGGUAUUACAACUCUCCCUCUCUUAAAAGAAAUUUGGUUCCUUAAAUUUGUCUCCUUCUCACUUAAUCAAACAGUUGGGGAUACUGGACUUUAAAGUCUGAUUCUAGCUUCUAUGUGGCCUCUCUCUGUGUGUGAUUCUGCAUAGGACCUUAACGAAGAAAAUUUCCCUAUUGCAGAGUACUCUGCUCGUUUGGUCUACAAUGCCCACUAUUACCUCUUCAUAGGAUUGAUCCUCCUGGAAUGAAAGGGGCUCGUGGACCAAGAUGUGCGAGGGGUUCGAGUUGUACUUGCGUAGCAUGUACACAUGAAACACAUUAUGGACCCUGGAUAUCUCUGGAGGUAGUGCCAGUCUAUAAGCGGCGAUAUCAAUGCUGUCUAAGAUCUCAAAUGACCUAAUGAAUCAAGGAUUUAGUUUCUCCCUUUUGUCAAACUUACUGAUUCUCUUGAAAUGGAUGACCUUGAGAGACACUCGAUUACCUUUCUCAAAUUCCAAAUCCCUCCUCCGGGUGUCCGCAUAACUUUUCUAUCUGCUUUGAGCCAUUUGGAUGUUCUUUCUAAUCUUAACUAUUUUGACUAUAGUCUCCUCCACAAGAUUUGGGCUGAACAAAUUUCUAUCAUUCACCUCUUUCCAACAG
rnacentral:lncRNA from 1 species